UACGGGGGGGGCAAGCGUUGUUCGGAAUUACUGGGCGUAAAGGGCUCGUAGGCGGCCAACUAAGUCAUACGUGAAAUCCCUCGGCUUAACCGGGGAACUGCGUCUGAUACUGGAUGGCUUGAGUUCGGGAGAGGGAUGCGGAAUUCCAGGUGUAGCGGUGAAAUGCGUAGAUAUCAAGAGGAACACCUGCGGCGAAGGCGGGUUGCUGGGCCGACACGUGACGCUGAUGCGCGAAAGCCAGGGGAGCGAACGGG
rnacentral:rRNA from 1 species